rnacentral:rRNA from 1 species
UGGGGACUAUUGCACAAUGGGGGAAACCCUGAUGCAGCGACGCCGCGUGAGUGAAGAAGUAUUUCGGUAUGUAAAGCUCUAUCAGCAGGAACGAGACAAGACGGUACCUGACUAAGAAGCCCCGGCUAACUACGUGCCAGCAGCCGCGGUAAUACGUAGGGGGCAAGCGUUAUCCGGAAUCACUGGGUGUAAAGGGAGCGUAGACGGCUGAGCAAGCCUGAAGUGAAAGGCGGGGGCCCAACCCCCGGACUGCUUUGGGAACUGUACGGCUGGAGUGCAGGAGAGGUAAGUGGAAUUCCUAGUGUAGCGGUGAAAUGCGUAGAUAUUAGGAGGAACACCAGUGGCGAAGGCGGCUUACUGGACUGUAACUGACGUUGAGGCUCGAAAGCGUGGGGAGCAAACAGG